GUUCACUGUCGUACAGGCAGCUCAGAAA
rnacentral:other from 1 species